GUUCUCCCCGCAGGUGCUGCAUGGAGUGAGUGGCGGCAUCCACCGUGAGGAGGAGAGGAGCUCUGAUACCCUCAGGACCCGCCAGGAGGGGCAUCACGGAGGCUUCUGGACGACUUGGAGCUGUGUCCUGGGGAGAAAACCGCUCCUGUCUGGGCCCUGAGUGCUGAGGAGGAAGCUGCCAUGCACUUUUCCCUGGCAUUUUUCCUGCAUGGAGAGAGAGGUCCAAGGUGCCCUACAUCGUGCGUCAGUGCGUGGAGGAGAUCGAGCGCCGAGGCAUGGAGGAGAUAACAAGGACGUGUCAGUGAUGAUGAGCGAGAUGGACGUGAACGCCAUCGCAGGCAUGCUGAAGCUGUACUUCCGUGAGCUGCCCGAGCCCCUCUUCACUGACGAGUUCUACCCCAACUUCGCAGAGGGCAUCGGUGCCCCUCACAGGGUCCUCACUGGCGGCCAGCGCUGUGGGUGUGACGAUGAUGACAAGCCUAAACUGCGCAAGGACUCGUGUCCCUGGCGCUCCAUGUGACCACCUCGGGAGAGGUCUCCGGCUUGUCGUAACCCAGGGGAGUGACCCACUGCCUCCUGCAGCUCUUUCAGACCCAGUUGCAAAGAAGAGCUGCAUGCUCAACCUGCUGUCGUCCCUGCCGGAGGCCAACCUGCUCACCUUCCUUUUCCUUCUAGACCACCUGGAAAGGAUGGCAGAGAAGGAGGCAGUCAAUAAGAUGUCCCUGCACAACCUUGGCACGGUGUUUGGCCCCACGCUGCUCCGGCCCUCCGAGAAGGAGAGCAAGCUCCCUGCCAACCCCAGCCAGCCCAUCACCAUGACUGACAGCUGGUCCUUGGAGGUCAUGUCCCAGAUCCAGAUACCUAAUAAGAUGCUGGAAUGUAAUCCCUGGACAAUCCGUGUCCUGGCAGCAUUUGGUCUUCCUCUAAGCGCCUGGCUCCGCUGUUCUCAGGAGUGGGUUCUGAAGUCUCUGGAGAACAGGAUACGUGGAGGGUUAGGAAGGGGCCAGGCCUAGAGACGGGAGACUCCCUCCCGGAGCAGGUGGAGGCACAGGACCAUUCGCUACCCCAUCUGCCGGCACCUGCGGGGGAGCCCAGGCAUUGUUUGUAAACCCUCCUGACUACCUGACUCAAAGAAAACAGAAGCAUGGAGGCCGCCAAGUAUUUUCAAGAAAUAAUCCCAUGAACGUGGCAUCACUUUUUUAGAAAGAGGGGCUUGGGGCAGGCAGAGGAGAGAAGGGAGAGCAAACUGAGAGCCAAGUUUCCAGACGGUCCUGCAGGAGGAGAGGAUGCAGCUGCGCAGAGGGAAGCAGGAUCACAUUUAAGGAAGUGUGUGGGGUCCCUGGAUGACACCAGCACCCAGUACGGCUCUGUCUGGCAACCGCUCCCAAGGUGGCAGGAGUGGGUGUCCCCUGUGUGUCAGUGGGCAGCUCCUGCUGAGCCCGCAGCUCACUGGGGAGCCUGACAGCGGGGCCAUGUGCCUGACACUCCUCUCUGCUUGUGGACCUGGCAAGGCAGGGAGCAGAAAACAGAGCCACUUGAAGGCUUUCUGUCUGCGUCUGUGUGCAGUGUGGAUUUAGUUGUGCUUUUUUCUUGCUGGGAGAGCACAGCCACCAUUUACAAGCAGUGUCACCCUCGUGGGUGGCGAGGACAGAACAGGAGCCUCUGCUCUCUGUACCUAUCUGGGCCCGGUGGGCUCCCUUGUCCUGGCUUCCAUCUCUGUCUCAGCAACCAUUCAGCCCUGCGCAGGAACACGUGUUGCUUAGAAAAGCCAAAUCCAGCCUUGUCUCUGCCUCCUCUGGUCUCAUGAUGUGCAUCUGUUACCUUGAAACUGG
ensembl:lncRNA novel transcript